rnacentral:rRNA from 1 species
CAUGCCGCGUGUGUGAAGAAGGCCUUAGGGUUGUAAAGCACUUUCAGCAGGGAGGAAAAGCUGAUCGUUAAUGCCGGUCAGUGUUGACGUUACCUGCAGAAGAAGCACCGGCUAACUCCGUGCCAGCCACUGCGGUGACUGAGCGGGCUGGCAAGGCGCAUA